rnacentral:rRNA from 1 species
UGCCCCCGACUCUGGGAUAAGCCCGGGAAACUGGGUCUAAUACCGGAUAUUACCUUUGACCGCAGGUUGUUGGUGGAAAGAUUUAUCGGUGGGGGAUGGACUCGCGGCCUAUCAGCUUGUUGGUGAGGUAAUGGCUCACCAAGGCGACGACGGGUAGCCGGCCUGAGAGGGUGACCGGCCACACUGGGACUGAGACACGGCCCAGACUCCUACGGGAGGCAGCAGUGGGGAAUAUUGCACAAUGGGCGAAAGCCUGAUGCAGCGACGCCGCGUGAGGGAUGACGGCCUUCGGGUUGUAAACCUCUUUCAGUAGGGAAGAAGCGAAAGUGACGGUACCUGCAGAAGAAGCGCCGGCUAACUACGUGCCAGCAGCCGCGGUAAUACGUAGGGCGCAAGCGUUAUCCGGAUUUAUUGGGCGUAAAGAGCUCGUAGGCGGUUUGUCGCGUCUGCCGUGAAAGUCCGAGGCUCAACCUCGGAUCUGCGGUGGGUACGGGCAGACUAGAGUGAUGUAGGGGAGACUGGAAUUCCUGGUGUAGCGGUGAAAUGCGCAGAUAUCAGGAGGAACACCGAUGGCGAGGCAGGUCUCUGGGCAUUUACUGACGCUGAGGAGCGAAAGCAUGGGGAGCGAACAGGAUUAGAUACCCUGGGUAGUCCAUGCCGUAACGUUGGGCACUAGGUGUGGGGGACAUUCCACGUUUUCCGCGCCGUA